UACAGAGGGUGCAAGCGUUAAUCGGAAUUACUGGGCGUAAAGCGUGCGCAGGCGGUUUUGUAAGCCAGAUGUGAAAUCCCCGGGCUUAACCUGGGAAUGGCAUUUGGGACUGCAAGGCUGGAGUGCGGCAGAGGAGACUGGAAUUCCUGGUGUAGCAGUGAAAUGCGUAGAUAUCUGGAGGAACACCGGUGGCGAAGGCGGCAUCCUGGACCAACACUGACACUGAGGAGCGAAAGUGUGGGGAGCGAACAGG
rnacentral:rRNA from 1 species